GGCGGAACACGUGAAAUUCCGUCGGAAUCCGGGAGGACCAUCUCCCAAGGCUAAAUACUCCCUAGUGACCGAUAGUGAACCAGUACCGUGAGGGAAAGGUGAAAAGCACCCCGGAAGGGGAGUGAAACAGUUCCUGAAACCGUGUGCCUACAAUUAGUCAAAGCCCGUUAAUGGGUAAUGGCGUGCCUUUUGUAGAAUGAACCGGCGAGUUACGUUUGCUUGCGAGGUUAAGAUGAAAAGUCGGAGCCGUAGCGAAAGCGAGUCUGAACAGGGCGAAUGAGUAAGCAGAUGUAGACCCGAAACCAAGUGACCUACCCAUGACCAGGUUGAAGGUGUGGUGAAACACACUGGAGGACCGAACCCAUGUAUGUUGAAAAAUGCUGGGAUGAGUUGUGGGUAGCGGUGAAAUUCCAAACGAACUUGGAGAUAGCUGGUUCUCUCCGAAAUAGCUUUAGGGUUAGCCUCGGAGGAUGGAUCAUGGAGGUAGAGCACUGUUUGAACUAGGGGCCCAUCAAGGGUUACUGAAUUCAGAUAAACUCCGAAUACCAUCGAUCUUACUCCGGGAGUCAGACAGUGAGCGAUAAGGUCCAUUGUCGAAAGGGGAACAGCCCAGAUCACCAGUUAAGGUCCCUAAAUUUAUGCUAAGUGGAAAAGGAUGUGGCGUUGCACAGACAACUAGGAUGUUGGCUCAGAAGCAGCCACCAUUUAAAGAGUGCGUAAUAGCUCACUAGUCGAGUGGCACUGCGCCGAAAAUAUACCGGGGCUAAGCAUAAUACCGAAACUGUGGGUGCACCCGUAAGGGUGCGCGGUAGGAGAGCGUUCUAAGGGCGUUGAAGGUCGAUCGUGAGGACGGCUGGAGCGCUUAGAAGUGAGAAUGCCGGCAUGAGUAGCGAAAGAUCAGUGAGAAUCUGAUCCACCGUAUGACUAAGGUUUCCUGGGGAAGGCUCGUCCUCCCAGGGUUAGUCGGGAUCUAAGGCGAGGCCGAGAGGCGUAGUCGAUGACAAGCAGGUUGAGAUUCCUGCACUAGUUUAUUUUGUUUAAGCGAUGGAGGGACGCAGGAGGCUAAGGAAAGCGCACGGCUGGAAAUGUGCGCCCAAGCAGCAAGUCUGACAGCGAGUAAAAUGCUUGCAGUCUUAAGGACAAGCUGUGAUGGGGAGCGAAAUUAUAGUAGCGAAGUUCCUGAUGUCACACUGCCAAGAAAAGCUUCUAGUGAGAAAUAAACUACCCGUACCGCAAACCGACACAGGUAGUCGAGGAGAGUAUCCUCAGGUGAGCGAGCGAACUCUCGUUAAGGAACUCGGCAAAAUGACCCCGUAACUUCGGAAGAAGGGGUGCUGACCGCAAGGUCAGCCGCAGUGAAUAGGCCCAAACAACUGUUUAUCAAAAACACAGGUCUCUGCUAAAUCGUAAGAUGAUGUAUAGGGGCUGACGCCUGCCCGGUGCUGGAAGGUUAAGAGGAUGAGUUAGCGCAAGCGAAGCCCAGAAUUGAAGCCCCAGUAAACGGCGGCCGUAACUAUAACGGUCCUAAGGUAGCGAAAUUCCUUGUCGGGUAAGUUCCGACCCGCACGAAAGGCGUAAUGAUUUGGGCACUGUCUCA
rnacentral:rRNA from 1 species